rnacentral:rRNA from 1 species
UACGUAGGUGGCAAGCGUUGUCCGGAUUUACUGGGCGUAAAGAGCGCGCAGGCGGUCGUUCAAGUCGCGUGUGAAAGCCCCCGGCUCAACUGGGGAGGGUCACGCGAUACUGAUCGACUCGAAGGCAGGAGAGGGUAGUGGAAUUCCCGGUGUAGUGGCGAAAUGCGUAGAUAUCGGGAGGAACACCAGUGGCGAAGGCGACUACCUGGCCUGUUCUUGACGCUGAGGCGCGAAAGCUAGGGGAGCAAACGGGG